GUUAGGAAGCAGAUAAGUUGAAGGUUUUUAAGUGGGGAGGAAUGGGGUUAGGGUGGGGUGGGGAGGGGUUUGGGGGUGAUUGAGGGAAAUAGGAUGUUAUGAAAAGUGGGAUUAUUGGGGAUUGGGGAGGUAAAGUUGGGGAUUAGGAGAUUAGAACGAUUAUUAUCAUUAUUAUUAUUAUUAUUAUUAUUAUUAUUAUUAUUAUUAUUAUUAUUAUUAUUACUAUGUUUGCUUAUUUAUUUAUUCAUUACAUUAGUACGUGUAUGUGUUUGUGUAUGCUACUUUGACAUGUGUGUAUGUAUUUAUGUACGUUAUGUGCGUGUGUGUGUGUGUGUUUAGGGUGCCGUAGUAUAUGCUCAUGUGUUCGUCAUGUGGUGUGUGUGUGUGUAUGUAUGUAUUACCCAACCCAUCUGUGUACGUGCUGUGUGUGUGUGUGUGUGUGUGUGUGUGUGUGUGUGUGUGUGUGUGUGUGUGUGUGUUUUGGCAGGUGAUAUGUUUAAUGAUGGGUGUGUGGGGAGAGGGGCAACAGGUGGGAUUUAGGGGGAUUGGGGAGGAGAGGGUGGGGAGGUAGGGAGGGUUAUGGGGAGGAGGGUCUUACGUCUUACAAGUGUUUGAAUAAGGGGGAGGGGGAGGUUAGGGUAUAAAAAACGGGAGGGGGAAGGGGGGAGAGGAGAUAAGGAAUGAAGUGACUUGAAGUGGGGAAGAAGUGAGGAUGGGAUAAAGGAAGGAGUUGGGGAAUGUUGGGAAAAGAGAAAGGGGAAGAAAAGAUGAAAUUGGGAAUGAAGUGUCUGAUAGGAAUAGGGAAGUGAGGAUGGAAUAAAGGAGUUGGGGAAUGUUGGGGAAAGAGAAAGGGGAAGAAAAGGUGAAAUUAGGGAAGAGAGAAAAGAAAUAGUAAAGAUGGGGAGAAGAAAGGGAAAGAAAAUGGGGUUAUGUAAAUGGGAAGAAGGGGAGGGAAAAAAACGUAGAUGGGGAAUAGGAGGGAGUGGGGAAAAAGGGGGAAUAGCUACGUGGGGAAGAGGGAGAUGUUGAAAUGGUUUUAGUGCAAUGGUAACCCCUUUUUUUCUAAUUCCCCAACCUCUUUAUAAUUCCCCAACCCCUUUUUCUAAUUCCCCAACCUCUUUAUAAUUCCCCAAGCUCUCUUUAUAAUUCCCCAACCUCUUAUACCCCCUUAACCUCUUCCCCAAUCCCUUAUUCCCCAUCCCAACCCCUAAUCCCCUCCCUAACCCUCUUAUUUUUCUCCCCUUCCCCAAUUUCUCUCCCCAAUCCCAACCCCAUACUCCCCUCCACACCCCACUCUUCCCCUCCCUAACCUUCCAUUUCCGUCCCCAAUCCUCUUCAAUCCCCAUAUUCCCCUCCAAUCUCCAUAUUCCUCUCCCCAACCUGCCAUCCCCCACCUUCAACCCUUUUUCCCCAUCAAUUCUUCAUCCUCUAUCUCUUCCCCAUCAUCUGUUACACGUUCAUCCCCUUUGCCCUUAAUCCAACUCCUCCCCAAGCCUUUCCUCCCCAACCUUACCUCUUAUUUAACUCACCUGUCCCACCCUUUACCUGGCCUCUUACCUCCCCUCCUUUCCUCCCCCCUCCUCCUCACCCCCUCUUCCUCCCCACCACUACAUCCCUCUUUGUCCUACCUUCUCCCCCCCCCCCCUCCACAAUCCCCACGUUCCUACCUUCUCUCCUCCCCAUUUCUCCAAUCCUCCUCCUCUCCCUGUUCUUACCUUCCCAUCUGUUACCAUGUCCCUCCCCUUCUUCCCCAGAUACCCUCCCCAACCUCUCCUAACCUACUUUUUUUUUCACCCCAAAUUCCCCAACCAACCCCACCCUCCCCUCCUCUUCCCCUCCUUCCCCACCUUAAUCCCCUCUUGUCAUUCUGGUGUUAGUGUGGUGGUGGGGAUGGGGGGAUGAGGGGGAUUGGUGCGGUUCCAACUGUCGGCGCCAUCCCCAUCCCCCCCUUCUUCACCCCCUCCCUUUCCCCCUUCCUCCCCACUCAUCUUUGGGACACGACACGGCCACUGGCGCCUCUGGGUCAUUUCUUGGGGGGUUGGGGAAGAAGGGGAAGGGGGGUAUCAAGGUGUUGGGGGUGAGGACAAAAGGGGUGAUAUAAGAGCUGUGUUGGGGAGGAAAGGAAGGAGGGGAGGGGAAGGGGAUGACAUUGUGCUGGGGAGGAAGAGGAGAUGGAGGGGAGGGUAGUCUAGUAACCUUGUGUUGGGGAAUAGUGGGGAGGAGGAGGGGGAGUGUUGGGGAGGUUAGAUUGUCCUGAUAGGGAGGGAUGACAUUGAGUUGGGGAGGGCGUUAAAAAAGAGGGUGUGUAGUAACCUUGUGUUGGGGAAUAGUGGGGAGGAGGAGGGGGAGUGUUGGGGAGGUUAGAUUGUCCUGAUAGGGAGGGAUGACAUUGAGUUGGGGAGGGCGUUGAAAAAGAGGGUGAGUGUAGUAACCUUGUGAUGGGGAAUGGUGGGGAGGAAGGGGAGUGUGUGGGGAAGGUUCAGCUCGUCUAGUGUUGGGGGAUUGUGAAGUUGGGAGUCAAAUUAGAAAUGAGGGGAUUAAUGGGGAGGAAGGUGUUAAAUUCCCUUCUAAUUGGGGAUGUGUAAGUUGGGAGUGGGGAAGGGGGGGUGGGGAAGCAUUCAUUUGGGGAGAAUGUGGUGGGGAUGGUGCGAUUUGAGAAUGACCUUGUGUGUGUGUGUGUGUGUGUGUGUGUGUGUGUGUGUGAAAGAGAGAGAGUUAGUAAUGCAUAACUUCCGUUCCAUUGUAAAAGAGAGAGAGAGAGAGAGAGAGAGAGAGAGAGAGAGAGAGAGAGAGAGGACACACUAAAUUUAAAUGCACAUAGUAACAGCGAGAAUAAUACUAAUGUUUUCUCUUUCUUUAAUAUAAGUUAUAAAUAGUCGAUUUAUUAUUCUUGCAUCAAUCUCAAAACACUCCCAUCUAUUUUUGUAUUAAUAAUGUGUUGCUGUUUGUAUGUAUAAUUGGAGCUCCCCCGUUUUCUCUUUUUUUUUUUUUAGUGGGGGGUGAAAUAUCAACUAGAACAUCUGUAACAAUUCUCUACUUGUAUUUAUUAUCUGACAUAUGUUCAUUUUCUUUCAUAUAAGUAAAACGUGGGAAAAGAACAUUCACUUUUUCUUAUUUAUUUUUCUCAUUCUUAUCUGUUUGUAUUAAUAAGUAGCUCUCCCGUUUUCUGUAUCAAUGAGUGUAGCUCUCCCGUUUUCUUCUUAUAUUUAGCGGUUUCUUUCUCUUUUUGGGUGAAAUGUCAACUAGAACAUCUUAACCAUUUGUCUCACUUAUAUUACUUGCUGACAUUUGUUCUUUAUUUUUUUCUUUCAUGUAAGUAGAACGUGGGAAAAGCACAGCCACUUAUGUCUCACUUAUUUGCUACAUUCAUUUCGUUCUCAUUUUUAAGCACGUUCACUUAUUUCUUACUAUUUGCUACAUUCAUUUCGUUCUCAUUUUUAAGCACGUUCAUUUAUUUCUUCCUUAUUUACUACAUUAAUUUCGUGCUCAUUUUUUUAAGCACGUUCAAUUAUUUCUUACUUAUUUACUACAUUAAUUUCGUUCUCAUUUUUAAGCACGUUCAAUUAUUUCUUACUUAUUUACUACAUUAAUUUCGUGCUCAUUUUUUUAAGCACGUUCAAUUAUUUCUUACUUAUUUACUACAUUAAUUUCGUUCUCAUUUUUAAGCACGUUCAAUUAUUUCUUACUUAUUUACUACAUUAAUUUCGUGCUCAUUUUUUUAAGCACAUUCAGUUAUUUCUUACUUAUUUACUACAUUAAUUUCGUGCUCAUUUUUUUAAGCACAUUCAGUUAUUUCUUACUUAUUCAGCACAUUCCCUUGUUUCUCUUUUAUCACAUUCACUUCGUUUUCUCAUUCCUAUUGACCCUAUUUUUCAUACUGUACACUCGUCUCGCAAACCAGUAAUAUUUCAAUAAUCUAACUUUUUUCUCUAUUGUACAAAACUUGCGUAACACUCUACAUUUCACUAGUUUCUUGUAUUACAUUUUUAUAUUCUUUCUUGUUAACCUUUUUUUUUUUUCUUUUCUCUUAUUAUUUUUGUUCGGUUCCUAUUUUCAUUUUUCUUUUGUUUUUGUUUUCUUUCAUCCAGGAUCAUUAACUUUUUAUAUUCAACCAUUAACCUUUUUCUUGUUCUUUGACAUUAACCUUUAUUUUUUAUCAUUAAACUCUAAUCUCUUUUCUACCAUUAGUCUUUACCUUUAACCUUUCUUUUUUAUCAUUAAGCUCUAAUCUAUUUUCUACCAUUAGUCUUUACCUUUAACCUUACCUCUUUCCCUACCCUUUAACCUUAUAUAUAUUUUUUUUUCAUUAACCUCUUCAGUAUCAGAAAACAUAACCUGCAUAACCAUUAACAUUUCAAUCUCUUCUGUAACACUUUUUUUUUUUUAUUUAUUUUUAUUAACCUCCUUCUGUUAUUUUUUAGUCGUAUUCAAACAUACCUUACAUGCCAAUAACAUUUCAAUCUCUUCUGCAACACACAUUUUAUCUUCAUUCCUCUUACCCUCUUUCUUUCUUUCUCUUGUGAUCGUCAAAACAUACCAACUUACAUACCAAUGAAAUCUCAAUCAUUUCUGCAACACACAUUUUAUCUUCAUUCCUCUUAACCUCUUUCUUUCUUUCUCUUGUGAUCGUCAAAACAUACCAACUUACAUACCAAUGAAAUCUCAAUCAUUUCUCCAACACACAUUUUAUCUUCAUUCCUCUUAACCUCUUUCUUUCUUUCUUUCUCCUCCUGUGAUCCUCAAAACAUACCUCACAUAUCAACACCAACAUUUCAAUCUGUUUUUCUUCUUUUCUUAUCUCUUCUUCGUCCCUUUGAUCUUCGGGUCAAUGAACUCUAAACUACGGAUGUUGGAGGAGGAGAAGGAGGAGGAGGAAGAGAUAAUUGAGUCCGGUGGGUACUUGUGGUGGGGGAGAGAAAGAGAGAGAGGGUGGGAGAGCAAGGGAGAGAGAGAAAAAGAGAGAGAUUUGUUGAAACGUAUAUAUCCAUCUUCGAAAACAUUCCCUUCUUCGGUAAAUAAACAAAGUAUAUAAACAAGUAAACACAAAUAACAACCUUCAUAAUAGCAAGACACAUUAGCGGCGUGAGUGCCUAAGUAAACAAACAAGUGUACAUACAAAUAAGGCUAAGAAAACAUUAUAAACAACAUGUAUUUAGUUUUAAGCAAGGACGUAACCUCAUAGCAACCAACCACCCCACAUGUCUUCACUCCUUCAUCUUUUACCUCGAUCUCUAACUCUCCCUUAACCCGGUAGCAGCGACGGGCCAAAUUUGUGGCUUUACCAUGUAGCAGCGACGGGCCACAUUUUUGCCAUGAUAUAAACCCACAAAAACAGAUGAUGCAUAAACUGAUCACAAAUGCGUUGAUAUAUAUUAUGAAAUGGUUUGCGUGAGUGAUGACUUUUUCUCAUUUUCUCGCUUAGAGGGACCUUUAAGAAACAUGAUCCCCGCAGCUACCAGGUUAAGGGGCUAUCUCACUGGGCAAAUUUUCCGUGGAUCUUCAGUCAAACUACGAUUUCCGCUGGCGUGGUUCUCAUAUUUCCGUGGUUUUCUGGCGGGUCCGCAAUAUUCCAAAGCUAUGGUAGAUUUCACAAAAGUACGACGGUAUUACUCACCAUCAUCAUCAGCAGCAGCAGCAAUAACAAGAAACAUAUGACAACCACGCUAGCGGAAAUCGUGGUUUGACUGAAGAUCCACGGAAAAUUUGCCCAGUGUAAUAGUCCCUUAAUCUAUCCCUACCUCAGUCUUCCCCAGUCUCCCCCCUCCAAUUUUACCGUCAUUGUUACCCAGUCAAACCUUACCCAUUUAGCUUUCCCUACUCAUCCAACCUUACCCCAAUCUUACCCCUUCAACCUUUACCUAAUCUCCCCCCCCCCCUCUAGCUUUUCCUUACCCAUCAAACCUUACCCAUUUAGCUUUCCUUACUCAUCCAACCUUACCCCAAUCUCACCUCUUCAACCCUUACCUAAUCUUCCCCCCCCCCCUCUAGCUUUUCCUUACCCAUCAGACCUUACCCUCUUUUCCCCUCUGACCUAUCCCCCCCACCGCAACCCUUCCAAAUUUACCCUCAACCCCUCCUCUUCACACCCUAUCAACCUCAUCUGUAAUCCAUCCUAACCUCACCCCAAGCUCCCAAACCUUUAACCAACUCCCUUCCCACACAUGUACCUCCCCAAUUUGAACCCAAGAUUGUGCAACCCCCAACCUCACCCCCAAACUGUGCACCCCAACCUCAUCAAAUUCUCACACCCCAACUCCCUUCCCACACUCGACCCCCCCCAAUUUGACCCCAAGACUGUGCAACCCCCAACCUCACCCCCAAACUGUGCACCCCAACCUCAUCCCAUUCUCACACCCCAACCCUGCCACUCCAUUUCCAACCCUCCCAACGACCCCGAACUUCACCAUCCUCUCCUCCCACCCCAACCAAACCCAGUUACGUAAUUAAACAAACACACACAAAAAAAGGCAAAGUGGCACAGUUAUUCACUAAGCACACAGUUGAUUGUUUAUGUGUGUGUGUGUGUGUGUGUGUGUGUGUGUGUGUCAGUCAGUCAACUCUAAACAAAA